rnacentral:rRNA from 1 species
UAGGGAAUCUUCGGCAAUGGACGAAAGUCUGACCGAGCAACGCCGCGCGAGUGAAGAAGGUUUUCGGAUCGUAAAACUCUGUUGUUAGAGAAGAACAAGGACGUUAGUAACUGAACGUCCCCUGACGGUAUCUAACCAGAAAGCCACGGCUAACUACGUGCCAGCAGCCGCGGUAAUACGUAGGUGGCAAGCGUUGUCCGGAUUUAUUGGGCGUAAAGCGAGCGCAGGCGGUUUCUUAAGUCUGAUGUGAAAGCCCCCGGCUCAACCGGGGAGGGUCAUUGGAAACUGGGAGACGUGAGUGCAGAAGAGGAGAGUGGAAUUCCAUGUGUAGCGGUGAAAUGCGUAGAUAUAUGGAGGAACACCAGUGGCGAAGGCGGCUCUCUGGUCUGUAUCUGACGCUGAGGCUCGAAAGCGUGGGGAGCAAACAGG